AUGAAUAAAGCAUUUAAAAUUAUCUGUAUAAGUUUUUCCUCUAAAAAUUUUUUUUUUUUCUAAAAUAUUUUUUACUCGUAUCUCCGCUGAGUCAUAAACGAUUUCUUGGUAAUGUGCGCAUAAAAUUUCGAAUGCACGCGUGCGCGCAUUUUUAAUAAUUUAUCACGCUGCGGAAAUUACGAAAGACGCUCGUGCGUAAGCAACGAGUAAUCAGAACACGAUUUUAAGUACUAAUUAGCAAUGACGGAACGGAAAGGAUCAGACAGGAAACCGCAACUGAUGGGCCUUCCCUAAGUUGUUUAUAUAAAUACCUGCGCUAUGGUUACAACAGUCAGUCCAGUUAUUAGCAUUUUGAUGUUACAAGCGUACGCGUGAAGAAAAAGGAGAGAAAUCUGACGCCAGUCCGUUUGUGAUUUCAUUCUACCUAAUUUGAAAUUCGAGAAAGUGUAAUCGGGAGAUUGAAUAUCAUCUGCAAUAAUCAUGGCACCCGCCCGUUUGAUUCUACUGAUUCUCGCGUCGAUAAUGUUAGUAUUUGCGUGCGAGGGAUUGCCACUAACUUUCCCCGCGAGAAAUCGGGUACCCAAGUGUCCGGAGGGUUAUAGGACCGUUCGUAACGGAGGAUGCAAAAAGAUUAUUUAACAUAAGAUAUGCUCCUCUGUUGCACAAGAAUAGUGCAAACAAAGUCGCAGGAUAUUUUCCCGGAGGUGCCAUAUUAGCAACGAAAACGAUAAUACUUUUAUCUCUUAUAUCGUAAUAUAAUCAUACCUUUUGACUACGAAUCAUUUAGAAAUAUGUGCAGAAGAAAUCCCUUUAAUAAAAUUUGGCAAUCAUCGUCCAUCAAAAAUUCAAUAUGUUUUUGUAACCAAUAUGCACCACGUAAAUAUUCUGUGUGUAUCACUGAUAAAUAAUAAUGUCAAAAAAAAUAA